rnacentral:rRNA from 1 species
AGAGUUUGAUCCUAGCUCAGGAUGAACGCUGGCGGCGUGUCUAAGGCAUGCAAGUCGAAUGCCCUUCACUAAGUUUUCGAAUAAUUCGAAAACUUAGUGAAGGGCAUGGCGAACGGGUGAGUAACACAUUGGUAACCUACCCCCGAGACGGGCAUAACUCCUCGAAAGAGGAGAUAAUUCCCGAUGGUUUCCGACAUCGUAAGGUCGUCGGAAUAAAACUCCGGUGCUCGGGGAGGGGCCUAUGCCUGAUUAGCUAGUUGGUGAGGUAAUGGCUCACCAAGGCGAUGAUCAGUAGCGGGGAUGGAAGUCUGACCCGCCUCACUGGGACUGAGACACUGCCCAGACUCCUACGGGAGGCUGCAGUCGAGAAUCUUCCUCAAUGGCCGCAAGGCUGAAGGAGCGACGCCGCGUGCAGGAAGACGCCCCUCGGGGUGUAAACUGCUUUUAUCUCUGAAGAAGAUAUAUGUUUCGAUGUAUAUCUGACGGUAAGAGAAGAAUAAGGACCUCCUAAUUUCGUGCCAGCAGGAGCGGUAAUACGAAAGGUCCAAGCGUUAUCCGGAUUUAUUGGGCGUAAAGCGUCCGCAGACGGUUAGAUAAGUUUCUGGUUAAAUUCCGAGGCUCAACUUCGGGACCGCCGGAAAAACUCUCUAGCUAGAGGGUGGGAGAGGUCACUGGAAUGGCUGGUGUAGGAGUAAAAUCCGUUAAUAUCAGCUAGAACACCAAAGGCGAAAGCAGGUGACUGGAACACUCCUGACGUUCAGGGACGAAAGCGUGGGUAGCGAAUGGGAUUAGAUACCCCAGUAGUCCACGCCGUAAACGAUGGAUACUUGACAUUGGCAGUCUCGACCCUGUCAGUGUCGCUCUACACAAGUUAACACCUUAAGUAUCCCGCCUGGGGAGUACGAGCGCAAGCUUAAAACUCAAAGGAAUAGACGGGGACCCGCACAAGCGGUGGAGCAUGUGGUUCAAUUCGAAGAUAAGCGAGGAACCUCACCAGGGCUUGACAGCUAGCCUAUGUAAAACCUUAAUCGGUUUUUCUUAGUGGCUAAGACAGGUGCUGCAUGGUUGUCGUCAGCAUGUGCCGUGAGGUGCACCGUUAAUUCGGGUAACAUGCGCAACCCUCAUCCUGAUUUAAUUUUCAUCAGGAAACUGCCUCCGAUAAGGAGGAGGAAGGUGGGGAUGACGUCAAAUCAGCAUGGUCCUUACGCUCUGGGCUACACACGUGCUACAAUGGCCACUACAAUGGGACGCCAAGUCGCAAGACGGAGCUAACCCCAUCAAAAGUGGCCUCAGUUCGGAUUGAGGUCUGCAACUCGACCUCAUGAAGUUGGAAUCGCUAGUAAACGCGAAUCAGCCUCGUCGCGUUGAAUACGUUCUCGGGUCUUGUACUCACCGCCCGUCACGUCAAGGGAGCCGGUAAUACCCAAAUGCCGACGCACGUCGGCAAAAGGUAAGAUUGGUAACAGGGACGAAGUCGUAACAAGGCAUCCGUAGCGGAAGCUGUGGAUG